UCUUUUGUAGGUUAUAUGCUUAAACUGUCGGUUUGUGGUACCGUUGAAUCUUUUGGACAAAAGAA
rnacentral:tRNA from 1 species